UGGCUCAGAUUGAACGCUGGCGGCAGGCCUAACACAUGCAAGUCGAACGGUAACAGGAAGCAGCUUGCUGCUUCGCUGACGAGUGGCGGACGGGUGAGUAAUGUCUGGGAAACUGCCUGAUGGAGGGGGAUAACUACUGGAAACGGUGGCUAAUACCGCAUAACGUCGCAAGACCAAAGAGGGGGACCUUCGGGCCUCUUGCCAUCAGAUGUGCCCAGAUGGGAUUAGCUUGUUGGUGAGGUAACGGCUCACCAAGGCGACGAUCCCUAGCUGGUCUGAGAGGAUGACCAGCCACACUGGAACUGAGACACGGUCCAGACUCCUACGGGAGGCAGCAGUGGGGAAUAUUGCACAAUGGGCGCAAGCCUGAUGCAGCCAUGCCGCGUGUAUGAAGAAGGCCUUCGGGUUGUAAAGUACUUUCAGCGGGGAGGAAGGUGUUGUGGUUAAUAACCGCAGCAAUUGACGUUACCCGCAGAAGAAGCACCGGCUAACUCCGUGCCAGCAGCCGCGGUAAUACGGAGGGUGCAAGCGUUAAUCGGAAUUACUGGGCGUAAAGCGCACGCAGGCGGUCUGUCAAGUCGGAUGUGUAAUCCCCGGGCUCAACCUGGGAACUGCAUUCGAAACUGGCAGGCUUGAGUCUUGUAGAGGGGGGUAGAAUUCCAGGUGUAGCGGUGAAAUGCGUAGAGAUCUGGAGGAAUACCGGUGGCGAAGGCGGCCCCCUGGACAAAGACUGACGCUCAGGUGCGAAAGCGUGGGGAGCAAACAGGAUUAGAUACCCUGGUAGUCCACGCCGUAAACGAUGUCUACUUGGAGGUUGUGCCCUUGAGGCGUGGCUUCCGGAGCUAACGCGUUAAGUAGACCGCCUGGGGAGUACGGCCGCAAGGUUAAAACUCAAAUGAAUUGACGGGGGCCCGCACAAGCGGUGGAGCAUGUGGUUUAAUUCGAUGCAACGCGAAGAACCUUACCUGGUCUUGACAUCCACAGAAGAAUCCAGAGAUGGAUUUGUGCCUUCGGGAACUGUGAGACAGGUGCUGCAUGGCUGUCGUCAGCUCGUGUUGUGAAAUGUUGGGUUAAGUCCCGCAACGAGCGCAACCCUUAUCCUUUGUUGCCAGCGAUUAGGUCGGGAACUCAAAGGAGACUGCCAGUGAUAAACUGGAGGAAGGUGGGGAUGACGUCAAGUCAUCAUGGCCCUUACGACCAGGGCUACACACGUGCUACAAUGGCGCAUACAAAGAGAAGCGACCUCGCGAGAGCAAGCGGACCUCAUAAAGUGCGUCGUAGUCCGGAUUGGAGUCUGCAACUCGACUCCAAGAAGUCGGAAUCGCUAGUAAUCGUGGAUCAGAAUGCCACGGUGAAUACGUUCCCGGGCCUUGUACACACCGCCCGUCACACCAUGGGAGUGGGUUGCAAAAGAAGUAGGUAGCUUAACCUUCGGGAGGGCGCUUACCACUUUGUGAUUCAUGACUGGGGUGAAGUCGUAACAAGGUA
rnacentral:rRNA from 1 species